UUUGAGCUUUAUGGGGCGUGAAGUUGAACUGUUUCAUCCACACUUGGUUAUAAUAUUUAUAAACCGAUCUGCCGAUAUCAAAAACCUGGCCUUAACGCGCUCUAAGACUAUGUAUAUUUGGGAAAGCCUCAGAAGAAAAAAAACACGCAUUCCAAAGGGAGAAAGGUAAAUAUAUGGAAAUAUUUUGCUUGGAACCCACGACUUUUUAUUCGGGACCCACGAUUUUUUACCCACGACCCACGCCUUUUUACCCACGUCCCACGCCUUUUUACCCACGACCCACGCCUUUUUACCCACGACCCACGCCUUUUUACCCACGACCCACGCCUUUUUACCCACGACCCACGCGUUUUUACCCACGACCCACGCGUUUUUACCCACGACCCACGCGUUUUUACCCACGACCCACGCGUUUUUACCCACGACUUACGACUUUUUACCCACGACCCACGACUUUUUACCCACGACCCACGACUUUUUACCCACGACCCACGACUUUUUACCCACGACCCACGACAUUCUACCCACGACCCACGACAUUCUACCCACGACCCACGACAUUCUACCCACGACCCACGACUGUUAGCUAGUCCCCUUAUAGGCAGAUGUU